GAAGAAAACGUGACAUCACAGCUAACAGCAUUAGCACCCCACAGAAUUCAACGUGUUUGGAGAGACGUGUGGUGCGCAGGAACAAACAUAUACAACAAUGUGCUGCACUCAGGAGAGGACAACAGUUUGCUUGAGCUGUCAAACAUGUUAGAUAACUUCUGUUGUCACCAUUUAUUUGUUCCAAGACUACAACUAAGUUUUCACACCAUCAGCAGUGGCUGAGAUGACCAUUCACUCAGAACUGAGGGGAAUCUAACACUCAGUCAGUUAUGGAAGAUGGGAAGCAUCCAGCAUGCUGUGGUAGAACCAGAAAUCACAGAGGGACUCUGCCUGCCUCAUAUUGACAGUGGACUGCUGGAUGACCCACACUGUGGGGUCACUAUUCCUGAAACUGGCAAUGUGUUGAGCCCCGAACAACUUGGUAGCACUGAGGGCAGCCAUGGGUGCACUGGGACAUUC